rnacentral:lncRNA from 1 species
AUUAUAAUAAACACAUUUGAAGAGCUGGAAUCUCAUGCGAUCCACUCCUUUUCUAAAGGUAAUACCCCUCCGGUAUAUCCAGUGGGUCCCAUUUUAAACCUUAAUAGAGAUGAUGGUGGUGGCGAGGAGUCUGAUAAAUACAAAGACAUCAAGCAAUGGCUCGAUGAUCAGCCCCUAUCCUCAGUAGUGUAUCUAUGCUUCGGGAGCAUGGGGGGUUUCAGAGUGGAUCAGGUGAAGGAAAUUGCUUGUGGGCUAGAGCAGAGCGGGCAUCGAUUCUUGUGGUCUCUGCGUCAACCACCACCGGAAGGGACGAUGGAACCUCCAAGCGAUUACAAUCCUCGGGAUGUCUUACCUGAAGGAUUUUUGGAUCGGACGGCUAACACAGGAAAAAUAAUUGGAUGGGCCCCCAGACAGAUAUUUUGGGCCAUCCAUCCGUAGGAGGGUUCGUAUCGCACUGUGGAUGGAACUCUAUAUUGGAAAGCAUAUGGUUUGGCGUUCCGAUUGCCGCGUGGCCAUUAUAUGCAGAGCAACAAUUUAAUGCCUUUCAAAUAGUUGUUGAGCUCGGAUUGGGAGUGGAGAUUAAAAUGGAUUAUAGAAGAGACUUUAACUGGGAUGGUAGUGAAAAUGUCAUUAGUGCCGGGGAGAUCGAGAGAGGAGUAAGGUGUUUAAUGGAGCUUUGCGAUGAGAAAAGGGAGAAGUUGAAGGAGAUGAGUGGAAAGAGCAGGAAGGCUUCGGAGAACGGUGGAUCCUCGUUCACUUGGUUAGGUCGUUUCAUUCAAGAUACGGUGGACCACGUCCAUGAUUAAACUGUACUCUUUUCAUGUUAUUUAAUAAAACGCUUUUUUUAGACCCUGUUUUAAAAGUGGUUGGGAAUGAGUUUUAAAAAACUUUCUUGGGCGCUGGGCCAACGGGAGUAGGAUCACUUAGCCAUACUUUAUAAUUGAAAAAACAAGUACUUUGGAAAUAUAUGCUACUCAGCCAAAGAAAAAAUUCUUGCCAAUAACCAUGACCGCUGAACCGCCGAAUAGAAACAUUAAUUAAUAUUUAAUUAAAAAAGGAAAUGAAAUUAACAUAUAUAACAUAAAAUUUCUCCACCGAUUCUUUCUAGUCGAGCCUCUGAGAAGUAGAAAGAAUUACAAUCCCCAUUCCACCUAAAAUUCUCACUUGACGCCCCUAUGCAUCUGUUAUAGUUAUUUCAUACCUUUUUUUUUUUUUUUUCCGUAUGAUUUUGCUUACUAUACUUGCUGCUGCUAUAGAAUAAUAAAUAAGAGCAUAAAUUCACUUACUUCGUCAGAAGGAUAUCAUUACAUAAUAUCUAUGAUUGUUUAUGUCUUUAACAGGACCACUUGAUUAAAUAUGGAGGAAAGUGGGAUAAAUGGUUAAAUCUCUUGUCUCCAGCUAUCGGAGAUCCCAUUUCCGUACCAACUCAAGAUAUGCUUAUGACGCUCUAUGUAUUAACAACCUAGAAUCGUCGAGGUAUUUGUGCAAAUAGGUCCUUUCAGGUAAAAUAAGAACAACUCCCAUGUUAAAAUAUAUAAAAAUAUUUUUUUUUUGUUUUUUUUAAAUUAUUUUUGAAAUCAGCACGUCCAAAACUUAUAGAAAAAAAAUUUGUAAAAAAAAAUUAAAUUUUUUUAAUAAUGUGUUUUAUACCGUUUUUCUCCAAGAUCAUACUUAGAUGCUAUGCCCGCGCAACGUUGUAGGCUUGUGACAUGUUUGUUUAUUGUUGUGGAUUUAUAUAAAAAAAAUUUAUAUGAAGAAAAUUUUUUGUGAUUCACAAUAUUUUUAAGAAAAAACUACAAAAAAUUCUUAACCAAUUUAAUAUUAAAAACAUAUUGAAGAUUUGGGAUGACCUCAGUCUUUAAUCUUGUGACUCAUGUGAUUGGGAUAUAAUUUAAUUAGUCAGAUUAUAAAUUUAUUUUUUAAUAAUUAUUAAUUCGAAUAUCAUAAAUUUCAAGGUUAUUGAAAAUUUACAUGAUUGUUAAUUUUAAAAUCUAUAAAAUUAAUCAAGAUACAUUUAAUUUAAUAGACCAAAUAUUUACAUUAAUGAAAUAAAAAAAUCUUGUGCUUCACAUGCAUGAUAUUUUAACAAAGAAUAGUCAAGUACACUUCAUUAUAGCCCCUUAUAGUGCACCUAAGAAGGACACGAAGAUCAAUCUUUUGCAUUCCUCCUAGAACUCUCCAGCUACUCGUUGUAAGCCGAGGAAAAAAAAACAAAGAGACCUCAAUUAAUUGCAGAAAUGAAGAAAGCUGAGCUAGUCUCCAUACCAGCACUUAAUGAAGAUUACCUUCCUCAUCAUGAGCCUAAGUUAUGACUCAAAGACCGCUUGCUAUAUUGAUUCAUUGAGUGCAACCGGCAAUCGAAUCUGGUUCAUUAAGUUGCCGUUGCCUGAAGAUAAGCCUGAACCCAGCAAGUUUCUCUUUUCUUUAAUUGGAACCCAAAACCCCAUAUCAAAGAAGUAGUUCAUGACACAUUUAUUCAUAUAAGUAAAUUUUUAUUUUAAGUUGAAAAUAAAAUAUAAAACCCAUCAAAACAAUAAAAUUAUAUUCAUACCACAAAUACAUUUGAUUUCAUGUAGGGUGUGUUGGGGUAUUAAUACCUUCUCUAAUCAAUAAUUUUUUUAAUUUUAAAAUUUAUAAUAAGAUUAAUGCAUCGAGUUUUUUAGUGAUUCUAAAUCAAACUAUUAGAAGGUGACUUUCUGAUUUCCUUACGCUAUUUGUCCACUUGCAGUAUUUAUAAUCUAAUAUAAGUAUUUUAACAUAAAAUAUUAACAUGUUUUUUAAAAAUUAAAAAAUCAAUUAAAUGUAAAUAUAAAAUUAUUCUUAAAAAACCUUUGGAUAACAAGGAUUUCAAGCUCAAAAUAGUUUUAUAGAUUGGACUAUGAGCAUAUGGGCUGAUGUUGAGCUUGGCUUUAAUUAAUGUAAGAUAUUUUAUUAUUAAGUUCAUGUUUUAUUAAUAUUAUUUUUAGUAUUAAAAAUAUUUUAAUACAUGAACCAAUUUAUUUAUUAAAUAAUGAGCGUUCAUAAUUUUUUCAUAAAUUAUAACUAAUUCAUGAAAAAAAUUAAGUCUACAUGCGAGCCCAUGCUGUGAACCUCAAAUCGGUCAAUGUCACGGAGAUGAAUAUUAUUGUUGUUGUCCAGCGGUUAUAUUAAUUCUAAACUAAUAUUAUUUGAUGCAAUGUAUAAUGAAGGUUAUGAAAUUUGUUAUACUAUGAAAAUUGUCAAAAAAAAUACAAUAUUUUUUUCUUUAUUUAAAAUUUGAGAUUAGUGCCUAAUUUGUUUUUAAACAUAACUGGUAUAAAGAUGAUAUGUUUUUAAAGUUAUUCAAAAACUAACUUCAAUCUCUAUUGACAUCAAUUAAAAAAAAAAAGAGCUCAGUCGCAUAAUGAAGAAAGCUGAGCUGGUCUUCAUACCAAAGUGUUGAUGAUUAAACCAAAGCAUAGAUCUAGAUAAUAUAGAUUAUAGUUGUUAAACUGGGUUCAGUAAUCUACUCAAAAUAAAAUUUAAAUCACUAAGUUACAAGGUCUCAUGUCAAUUAUUUUUAUUAAAAUAUAGGUGUUAUUUGGUUCUAGAAUUUUUUUUUUUUUAAAAAGAAAUUCUUAGUGUUGAUGUGUCUAGGUGCGACCUAGUUAAUAGGGUUAUUACAUAAGUUUUUUUGGGUGUGUAUAUAUAACUUUAACUUGGCCCCGAUCAAAUUUAAAAUCCUUACUUUUUUAAAAUUAAUUUAUCAAGUUAAAUUAAGUUUAAUCAUUAUGACAUUUGGUUUUUUUCUUGAUUUAAAUUUCGAGAUUAAUGUUUAUUUUUUUUAAAAAAAUACACCUAACUGAUACAAGAUGAUGUGUUUUUAAAGUUAUUCAUAACCUAAAUUUAAUCUCUAUUAACAUGAAUAUAUAUAUAUAUAUAUAUAUAUAUAAGCAUAGAAAAUUCAGCCCAUAAUAUGUAGUAAAAAACGUUGUCUUCUACUUUGAAUUUCAUAAAAGAGAUCUAAAUUUAAAUUUCUGACAGGGACGGCAUCCCUUUUUUUGGGUCUUCUUGACGAAUUGUAAAAGCAGUCCACAAUCACAGCAAAGCCAUGACCUCACUCAUAUCACAAUAAUAUGUAGCACCGGGAGUUCUCGUUCAGUAUGAAGUUGAAUGCAAGUCUAUGUCCACCUCGUGUAGUUGAAGAGGCCCGCGACGACAAACCUCAAUUUCUUCUUGCUGCUAGUGCUUCUUGUUAAAGCAGCUUUCAGUUUUCUCAUAAUGUUACAAGCUGUUGUUGAUCUCGAUUGAGUUGACAAGUCAUCGCCAGCUUUUAUCUAAAAAAUGCAAUGAUCUAUUCCACCAGCCAAGCAUAGAUAAAAGAUAUACGCGCUUCUUCUUCAUAUCAUAAAAGAGCGCUCCGACCGUCAAGCGGGCAAAUGCUUGGCUUGGUAGGUUCCAGUGAACCUUUAGUCAGAGAACUGGAUUGGCUUAGAGUGAAGUUUACCGUAGUAGAAAAGAGGAGCAUUCGGUGGAACCGGUACAGAAAUGGUUCCCAUUCGACUUGGGAAUUCCGUCUCUGGCUCGUGGGUUUAGGAUUGGCCUUCCUUCAUUAUUAUAAUUAUUAAUAUUAUUAUUAGUUGUCGUGACCGGUUAGGAUACUGAUAUUAAAGAAGCUAUAGGUCAUCAGUUGAUUCUAGAAUAAUUGUUUUUAUUAAAAUAGUAAUUUUUCUUCUAUUGAUUUGACGAGAGUCGAACGGAUUUGAUUGAUUUAAUAUUUUAACGGAUUUAACUAAAAACUUUAAAUGUCAAAUUUCUUAAGACCAAUCUGGUAAACUUCUAACAUACUACAAAACAUAUAUUGAUUUGUACAUUGAAAUUAUCACUUUAGCCUUAUUAAGAAAUACUCAAAGAACUUCAUUUUAAACAUAAAAAUUUCUUAAUUCAUUUAUCAUAGUUUAAAAAUUAAAAACCCCAUAGACAGAUUUACAAGUGGAAUGUAUUGGUCGACAUCUUACAAAAAAUUAAAACAUAUUUACCAAAAAUACAUCAAUCACCGACACCUUUACAAGCGGAUAAAGUCCGUUAGCAUUUUAUCAAGAGUUCAAAAAUAUUUACUGAAAAUGCCACAAUCACCUAUAUCUUUACAGACGGAUCGAGUAUGUCGGCAUUGUAUUGAGAGUUGAAAAAUAUUUACUAAAUAUGCCAUUAUAACCGAUGGAAUAUAUUUGUCAGUAUAUUUUAAGUGGGAAUUUUUUUUUACGCGUAUUUUCAGUCUGUAAAACCAUUAGUAAUUUUUUUUCUCUAGACAGAAGUAACAACGAAAUAUGGGAUUGCCGACGAACACUUUUCGUCGAUGAUUUUAUCAAAAAAAAAUUUACUAACGAAGUCUGAAUCUCACAUCGAUGAAUCCGGUCCAUCGGUGAAACUCUAAAAUCUUGCAAUGAUUAUUCUUAAAGAACCUUUGGAUAACAAGAGUUUCAAACCCAAAAUAGUUUUAUAAAUUUAACUAUUAGCAUGUGGGCUCAUGAGUUUGAGCUUGGCUUUGAUUAGUGUAAGAUAUUUUAUUAUUAAGUCCAUGUUUGAUUAAUAUUAUUUUUAGUGAUAAAAAUAUUUUAAUAAAUGAACCAAUAUAUUAAUUAAGUUAUAAAAAUGCAAAUAUUUUAUCGCACCCGACAUCGCAGCGACCUCUAAAAAUAAUAUUUGGGGAAGAUUGGAUUUCUGGCAUCCUAUUCUUUAAUGGGUAAUGAUCUUAUUUAAGGAGUCGUCACCUAGUAUUAUGGUCUCUAGGAAUUCUAACUGGUCAACAGAGAAUCUAUGGUACGGGAUUGGUUACGUAAAAGGGAAGAUAUUAUCACCUCUUAAACGUUCUGUCUAAGGCAGACUGCAUUGCUGGUUUUGUCUUUAAUUUCUAAACAUUUAUUCGCUUAUGCUAUGAUGAUUUGUUUAUAAUAUUCCUGACUCUAGUGCCAGUGAAUAUUCGAUCUAGAAUAAUUCCAACUCUGGCGUUGGUAAAAAUUCCAACCCCGAAUAAUUUUAACGUUGGUAAAAAUUCCACCAUGAAUAAUUUCAACUCUGGUAUUGGUAAAAAUUGGUAGCUAUAAAAAAAAAUCAAUAUAUUUUCUUAUUUUUUUUAUUUCUGAUCUUGAUAUCAGUGAAUAACUUGACAAAAGUAUUUUUUUUUAAGACAUGCAAAAUUUUUAUUUCUAUACUUUUUAUUUUUUUUUUCUUUUUUUUAGGGGCUGGGUCUGAUCCAGCCUACAUGGCUGGGUAGACCCAACAUUCCUGGUCUGGUCACUGGCCGAAGCCAGUGACCCGGUUGGGUAGUGAAUUAAUUAUAAUUCACUUGCUACUGUAGCAAGUGAAUUAUAAUGCAGGAGGGGAGAGACGAGAGAAGACUUACCUGGUGCAGCAAGGCGUAGCUGGAGACGAUGGCGCACUGCGCUGGACGAGCGGCACUGCCACCUCCUGUUCUUCCUCUCUUCUUCUUUCUCUUCCUCCUUUUCUUCCCCUGUUCGUCCCUGUAUUUCUCUCCUGGAGUGCCCUGUUUCUGGUGCAGUGGCUGCUGAAGAUGGAGCCCUGAAGCUGCUGUUUCUGUAGGCGACGAAAACAGUGGUAACGCUGGUGGUGACUCUUGUCUACUGCUUUCCUUGGUCUUCCUUCUGUGUUUCCUAUGCUCUCCCUCUCUCCAUGGCCUCCUCUGUUUCUUUGAGAAGAAACAGGGGAACGAAAGUCAACUCUUUUUUUUUCUUCACUCCUCGGUUAUGCUCUUUUCGUCUCUGUUUCGUUCUUCUUUGUGUGUUUCUUAUUGUUUUCGGUUUAUACCUCUGUUUCUAUUCGUGCUCCUGCCUCUUUGUUUUUCUCCGUUCUCGAUCGCUCUCUAUCUCUCCUGCCGGUUCCCCUGGCUUUUUCGUGUUACUCCUCAGUUUUUUCCUCUCUUUUUUCUUCUUUGUGGCCUUUGUUUCUUUGAGAAGAAACAGGGGCAAAAUUUGUAAUUGGACCCUGCAUUUCGGCACCUCUUAUAAGUUAGUCCUUGGACUUUAAUCUAUUGCAAAUGUGCCCCCAAUUAAACCCAAACUUUGAUAUUUCUUUCAAUUAAGUUCCUGAUUUCAUUAAUUAAAUUAAUUACAAGCUUAAUUAAGUCUCAAAACUUAUCAAUUCUCCAAUUAAACCCUUGAUUGGAUUUGUUAAAUUAAUUACAAGCUCAAUUAAGUCUCAAAACUUAUCAAUUCUCUAAUUAAGCCCUUGAUUGGAUUAAUUAAACUAGUCAAGAGUUUAAUUAAAUCUUUAAACUUGCAAUCAUGUUGUCCUUAACCCAAAUUUUAAUUCAUUCUUCAUUUAUUUUAUUUUUACUUGUUUUUUUUAUUUUUUAUUAAAUAAAAUAAUAAAAAGUUCAAUAUUAGGUUAUGACAUAUUUAAAUAAUGAGCAUUCAUAAUUUUUCAUGAAUUAUAAGUUAUUCAUGAAAAAAUUAAAUCUACAUGCUGUGAACCUCAAAUCGGUCUCGUGGGCUUCCAAAGCUUCUACAAAAGCCUUCGCGUCCUCCAUUCCUUGAUCAAUGUCACGGAGAUGAAUAUUAUUGUUGUUGUCCAUCGGUUACGAAAUUUGUUAUACUAUGAAAAUUGUUUAAAAAAAAUAUAUGCAAUAUUUUUUCUUUAUUUAAAUUUUGAGAUUAGGGCCUAAUUUUAAAAAAAUAUAUACCGAACUGGUAUAAAGAUGAUGUGUUUUUAAAGUUAUAACUUUAAUCUCACAAUGACAGCAAAGCCAUGACCUCACUGUCACUCUUGUCCUUGCACGGCUGCACGUAUAUAUUUUUUUAACAGUAAAUUGCCAAUCUCAAGUCCACUUAAUUAUAGCCACUAGUGCCCUUAAAAAGGAUAUGAAAAUCAGUCUUUUACAUGCAAUCCCACCUUGAAAUUCUCUAUAGCAAAUAGAGGGAAAAAAAACAGAGCUCCGUCGCAGGAUGAAGAAAGCUGAGUUGGUGUUCAUACCAAUAACAGGUAUAAGCCACCUCCUAUCCUCAGUAGAGGUAGCAAAGCUUCUUCUAGACCGUGAUGAGAGGCUUUCAAUCACCUUCCUCAUCAUGAAAAUACGUUCUGACCCCAAGAUUGAGAGGUUUAUAAAUUCAGUGAGCACAGCCUGUAAUCGUAUCCGCUUCAUUGACUUGCCUAAAGAUGAGCCUGAUCCAAACCAACCCAGGAAGUCUAUCUUUUCUUUGAUUGAAACCCAGAUACCCCAUGUCAAAGAUGAAGUCUCUAAGCUUGUGAGCCAGUCCGAGUCAAGCCCUGACUCGCCUACACUUUCUGGGUUUGUUCUCGAUAUGUUUUGUACACCAAUGAUAGACGUGGCCAAUGAAUUUGGUGUUCCCUCAUAUAUUUUCCUUACGUCAGGUGCAGCUUUCCUUGGCCUCCAAUUUUAUGUUCAGGCUCUUCACGAUGAGCAGAAAGUUGACCCUGCUGAGUUCAAGGGCUCUGAUGCUGAGUUAGUGAUGCCGUGUUUGGCAAAUCCUCUUCCAGCUAAGGUCUUGCCUUCUGUUUUGGUUGACAAAGAGUGGCUGCCAAAUAUGCUCAGUCAAGCUAGAAGGUUUAGAGAAACUAAGGGUAUUAUAAUAAACACAUUUGAAGAGCUGGAAUCUCAUGCGAUCCACUCCUUUUCUAAGGGUAAUACCCCUCCGGUAUAUCCAGUGGGUCCCAUUUUAAACCUUAAUAGAGAUGGUGAUUGUGACGAGGAGUCUGAUAAAUACAAAGACAUCAAGCAAUGGCUUGAUGAUCAGCCCCUAUCCUCAGUAGUGUAUCUAUGCUUCGGGAGCAGGGGGAGUUUCGGAGUGGAUCAGGUGAAGGAAAUUGCAUGGGGGCUAGAGCAGAGCGGGCAUCGAUUCUUGUGGUCUCUACGGAAACCACCACCGGUAGGGAAGAUGGAACUUCCAAGCGAUUACACUAAUCCUCGGGAUGUCUUACCUGAAGGAUUUCUGGAUCGGACGGCUAUCACAGGAAAAAUAAUUGGAUGGGCCCCGCAGACAGAUAUUUUGGCCCAUCCAUCCGUAGGAGGGUUCGUAUCGCACUGUGGAUGGAACUCUAUAUUGGAAAGCAUAUGGUUUGGCGUUCCAAUUGCCGCGUGGCCAUUAUAUGCAGAGCAACAACUGAAUGCCUUUCAAAUGAUUGUUGAGCUCGGAUUGGGAGUGGAGAUUAAAAUGGAUUAUAGAAGAGAGUUUAUCUCGGAUGGUAAUGAAGAUGUCAUUAGUGCCGGGGAGAUCGAGAGAGGAGUAAGGUGUUUAAUGGAGCUUUGCGAUGAGAAGAGGGAGAAGUUGAAGGAGAUGAGAGAGAAGAGCAGGAAGGCUUUGGAGAACGGUGGAACCUCGUUCACAUGGCUAGGUCGUUUCAUUCAAGAUACGGUGGACCACGUACCAUGAUUAAAUGGUACUCUCUUCGUAUUAUUUAAUACUGUGUCUUUGCGUUGAAAUAUUGUCUUUCAAAAUAAAUAAAUAAAUAUGGUUCAUUGAAAUCAGAGUUUUACCAUGCAUAGUAAAAUGAUUUGUGCAUUGAAAUUAUCACUUUAGCCCUAUUAAGAAAAACUCAAUGAACUUCAUCUCAAGGACAAAUAUUCUUAAAAAGAUAUUAAACUUAUAUAUAUUAAGCCAGGGUUGGAAAAAGGAUAUUAAACAAGGAAAUUUUUUAAAGAGUGAUCGAUAAUAAUUUUUUAAAUAAAUUCUUUGAAUAUAUAUAUAUAUAUAUAUAUAGAAAAUUGAGAGAUUUAGAAUCCUUUAAUUGAGUGAUUCCAGGAAGCCAUUUUUUUUUUUUUUUGUUGGAGUUGAAGUAGAUGGGUUAGAGUCAUUUCAUUUUUAUAUAUUGAAUUUGAAUUAUGAGUUUUAUUUCCCUUAAUAUACCCAAAAUACCGCAACCACAUACUUGUCUUUCCACUAAAUUUAUUCAAUUUGGAGAGGGAGAUGUAGUAGGUGAUUAGAGACUUUAAUACACAACCUGUUAAGUUAAAUUUUGUUGAAUUGCUAAUAAUUUUUUUAAUAAAAAAAUUUGGCUUGAUGUGACCUGAUCAGGAUAUAAAAAUAAUUUAGGUUGGCUAUAAAAAUAUAAUUUGAUUAAAAAAAUUAAAAUAAUAUUUUUAUAAAAAAAUAUUAAAAUAAUAACAUCUUGAUACAGAUCAACUUAAAUUAAUCUAUAAAUUUUCCAAUUAUAAUUAUAAAAUUAUUAUAAUAAAAUUUAAUUUUUAAUCAAUUUUAAAUAAUAAAAUUAAAAAAAUCUAAACAUAACAUAAUUUAAUCCAAAUUAACCUAUUAAUCCAAAUUAACCUUCUUUUCCUCGCUCAAGCUAGAAGGUUCAGGGAAAGUAAGGGUAUUAAACACAAAUAAAGAGCUGGAAUCUCAUGCGAUCAACUCCUUUUCUAAUGGCAAUACCCCUCCCGUGUGUCAGUGGGUCCCAUUUUAAACAAUGGCUUGAUGAUCAGCCUCUAUCAUCAGUGGUGCAUAUAUGCUUCGGGAGCAUGGGAAGUUUCGGUGUGGAUCAGGUGAAGGAAAUCGCAUGUGGGCUAGAGCAGGGCGGCCAUCGAUUCUUGUGGUCUCUACGUAAACCACCACCGAAAGGCAGGAUGGAACUUCUUCCAAGCGAUUACACUAAUCCUCGGGAUGUCUUACCUAAAGGAUUUUUUUUGAUCGGACGACUAACAUUGGAAAAAUAAUUGGAUGGGCUCCACAGAUGAAUAUUUUGGCUCAUCCUUCGGUGGGAGGGUUUGUAUCGUACCGUGGAUGGAAUUCUAUAUUGGAAAGCAUGGUGUUCCAACUUCCAAUUGCUGCCUGGCAGAGCACAAACUAAAGCUUUUCAAAUAGUUGUAGAGUUAGGGUUGGGAGUGGAGAUUAAAAUAAUUAAAAGAAUUGAACUCGGAUGGUAAAAGCCUAAUUAUUUUAAUUUUUUUUAUGUUUAUUUUGAACACUUUAAAGAAAGAACUAGAUAAAAUGUUAAAAUAUUUUUUCUCUUUCAUAAAUAAUAUUUUUAUAUAUUUUUCAAAAAAGUCAAAAUCAACAAAAUAGCUUUUACCAUCACCAUCACAAUAUAAUUAGCUUUUCAAACGAUUUUUUUCCAUUAGAAUAGAUAUUAUAAAAAAAAACUAUAUUUAUACUAUUUAAAAUGCUAUUUUAUCAAUUUAACUUUUUAAAAUAGUAUUUUUCAUUGGAGAUGCUCUUACAGCAAAGCCAUGACCUCAGUCUUUAAUUUUGUGCCUCACGUGAUUGGGAUGUAAUUCAGUUAGUCAUAUUAUAAAUUUAUUCGAAUCUCGUAAAUUUCAAGGUUAUUAAAGAUUUAUAUGAUUGUUAAUUUUAAAAUUAAUUAAGAUACGUGUAAGGCGGAACAAAUAUUUACAUUAAUGAAAUAAAAAAAUCUUGUGCUACACAUGCAUGAUAUUUUUAACAAAGAAUAGUCAAGUACACUUCAUUAUAGCCCCUUAUAGUGCACCUAAGAAGGACACGAAGAUCAGUCUUUUGCAUUCCUCCUUGAACUCUCUAGCUACUCAGUUGCAUAAAUGAAGAAAGCUGAGCUAGUCGCCAUACCAGCACCUGGUAGAAGCCACCUUAUGUCCACCUUAGUCUCCAUACGGCAAUUCAUUUUUUGGGGUCUUUCUGACGAAUUGUAAAAGCAGUCCACAAUGACAGCAAAGCCAUGACCUCACUCUCACUCUUGGCCUGCACGGCUGCACGUAUAUCUUUUUCAACAAUAAAUUGCCAAUCUCAAGUCCACUUAAUUAUAGCCACAAACAGUGCCUUUAAAAGGACACUGAGGCUUUUGGCUCGGCACUGGGAGGAGCUUUGUUUCUUUCCUGAGUUCGAAUCUUCAUGUGUAUGUUUGUUAUUUUCAUGGUGUUUUAUAUAUCUAUUAGGUUUGCAGGGUAUUUAGUAGUCGUGAAAUUAAUCGUGGUGAAGAAAAAAAAUCAGUCUUUUACAUGCAAUCCCACCUGGAAAUUCUCUAGCAAAUAGAGGAAAAAAAAAAAAAUAAGUCGCAGAAUGAAGAAAGCUGAGCUGGUCUUCAUACCAAAGUGUUGAUGAUUAAACCAAAGCAUAGAUCUAGAUAAUAUAGAUUAUAGUUGUUAAACUGGGUUCAGUAAUCUACUCAAAAUAAAAUUUAAAUCACUAAGUUACAAGGUCUCAUGUCAAUUAUUUUUAUUAAAAUAUAGGUGUUAUUUGGUUCUAGAUUUUUUUUAUGAAAAAAAGAAAUUCUUAGUGUUGACGUGUCUAGGUGUGACCUAGUUAAUAGGGUUAUUAAAUAAGUUUUUUUGUGUGUCUAUAUAUAACUUUAACUUGGCCCAGAUCAAAUUUAAAAUCCUUACUUUUUUAGAUUAUUUUAUCAAGUUAAACUAAGUUUAAUCAUUAUGACAUUUGGUUUUUUUUUCUUGAUUUAAAUUUCAAGAUUAGUGUUUAUUUAAAAAAAAAAUACACCUCACUGAUAAAAGAUGAUGUGUUUUUUUAGUUAUUCAUAACCUAAAUUUAAUCUCUAUUAACAUCAAUCCUAAAACAUCAAUAUAUAAGCAUAGAAAAUUCAGCCUAUUGUAAAAGAGAUUUAAAUUUCUGACAGGGACGGCAUCCCAUUUUUUUGGGUCUUCUCGACGAAUUGUAAAAGCAGUCCACAAUCACAGCAAAGCCAUGACCUCACUCUUAUUCUUGUCCUGCUCGAAUGUAGUUUUGAACAGUACAUUGCCAAUCUCAAGUCCACUUAAUUAUAGCCACAAACAGUGCCUUUAAAAAGGAUAUGAAAAUCAGUCUCUUACAAGCAAUCCCACCUCGAAAUUCUCUGGCAAAUAAAGAAAAAAAAAGGAGCUCAGUAGCAGAAUGAAGAAAGCUGAGCUGGUCUUCAUACCAACACCAGGUAUCAGCCACCUCGUAUCCACAGUAGAGGUAGCAAAGCUUCUUGUUGACCGUGAUGAGAGGCUUUCAGUCACCUUCCUAAUCAUGAAAAUACGUUCUGACCCCAAGAUUGAUAGGUUUAUAAAUUCAAUGAGUACAGCCUGUAAUCGUAUCCGCUUCAUUGACUUGCCUAAAGAUGAGCCUGAUCCAAACCAACCCAGGAAGUUUCUCUUUUCUAUGUUUGAAGCCCAGAUACCCCAUGUCAAAGAUGAAGUCUCUAAGCUUGUGAGCCUGUCCGAGUCAAGCCCUGACUCGCCUACACUUUCUGGGUUUGUUCUCGAUAUGUUUUGUACACCAAUGAUAGACGUGGCCAAUGAAUUUGGUGUUCCCUCAUAUAUUUUCCUUACGUCAGGUGCAGCUUUUCUUGGCCUCCAAUUUUAUGUUCAGGCUCUUCACGAUGAGCAGAAAGUUGACCCUACUGAGUUCAAGGGCUCGGAUGCUGAGUUGGUCAUGCCGUGUUUGGCAAAUCCUGUUCCAGCUAAGGUCUUGCCUUCUGUUUUGCUUAACAAAGAGUGGCUGCCAAAUAUGCUCCGUCAAGCUAGAAGGUUUAGAGAAACUAAGGGUAUUAUAAUAAACACAUUUGAAGAGCUGGAAUCCCAUGCGAUCAACUCCUUUUCUAAAGGUAAUAGCCCUCCGGUAUAUCCAGUGGGUCCCAUUUUAAACCUUAAUAGAGAUGGUGAUUGUGACGAGGAGUCUGAUAAAUACAAAGACAUCAAGCAAUGGCUUGAUGAUCAGCCCCUAUCCUCAGUAGUGUAUCUAUGCUUCGGGAGCAUGGGGAGUUUCGGAGUGGAUCAGGUGAAGGAAAUUGCUUAUGGGCUAGAGCAGAGCGGGCACCGAUUCUUGUGGUCUCUACGUCAACCACCACCGGAAGGGAAGAUGGAAGCUCCAAGCGAUUACACUGAUCCUCGGGAUGUCUUACCUGAAGGAUUUUUGGAUCGGACGGCUAACACAGGAAAAAUAAUUGGAUGGGCCCCACAGACAGAUAUUUUGGGCCAUCCAUCCGUAGGAGGGUUUGUAUCGCACUGUGGAUGGAACUCUAUAUUGGAAAGCAUAUGGUUUGGCGUUCCGAUUGCCGCGUGGCCAUUAUAUGCAGAGCAACAACUCAAUGCCUUUCAAAUGAUUGUUGAGCUCGGAUUGGGAGUGGAGAUUAAAAUGGAUUAUAGAAGAGAGUUUAUCUCGAAUGGUAAUGAAACUGUCAUUAGUGCCGGGGAGAUCGAGAGAGGAGUAAGGUGUUUAAUGGAGCUUUGCGAUGAGAAGAGGGAGAAGUUGAAGGAGAUGAGUGGAAAGAGCAGGAAGGCUUUGGAGAACGGUGGAUCCUCGUUCACAUGGUUAGGUCGUUUCAUUCAAGAUACGAUGGACCACCUACAAUGAUUAAAUUACUAGAUGCCAUCCCGGUGCCGCAGGCUUGUGGUAUAUUUAUAUAUUAUUGUAGAUUUAUGAAAAAAAUAAAAAUAUAUAUAUAAAAAGAGAAAAAUUGUUGCAAAUGUUUUCAAAAAAAAAAGUAAAAUUUUUAAUCAGUUUAAUAUUUAAAAAAUAAAAUAAUAAAAGAAAAUUUUUAAAAAAUUCACAUAAAAAAAAAACGAAAGGAAAGAAAAACUUUGUAAUAAAAUACUGUAAUAAUUUAUAGUGUUUCAUAAAAAAAUUCAUAAUUAUAAUUCUUAACUAACUCAAUAGUUAAAAUAAUAAAAUUAAUAAAAAUAAUUUUAAAAAAUUUCGUAACAAUAAAAAAUUAUAUGGUGGAAAACUGUAAUAAUCUACUCUACUUGACUUGGGCUAGGGCUUGAAUUGGCCUCUUGACUUUUUGGAGCUUGGGCAUUUCUUUGCUGGGUAUUCUUUUUCUUCAAUUGAACUUCUCUCUGCCCAUACAAACACAAAAAAAGAUAAAAAAAUAAUAAAAAAAAACAUGUAGGAAAAGUUAAAACUAAAUUCUAAAUCAGUUAAAUAUUAAAAAAAACAUUCGGGAAAGAUAAUUUAAAAAAAAACAUGUAGAUAAACACUGUAGCAAAACAAAAACCAUGUGGGGAAACGUUAUUACAGUCCAUAGUGUUUUUUUAAAAAAAAACUACGAAGCAAAAUUCAUAACCAGCUUAAUAUGAAAAAAAAAAAUCGACAAAGAUUAUUUUUAAAAAAAUCAUGAAAAAAAAGAAAACAAAUGUGUGAAAACAUUGCAGUAAUCCAAAAUGUUUUUUAAAAAAACUACAGAAUUAAAUUUUCAACUAGUUCAAUAUUAAAAAACAUUGACAAAGAUAAUUUAAAAAAAAACACAAAAAGAAAAAAGAAGAUAAUCUUAGGGGAUAAAAAGAAAAAAAAUGUAAAAUAAAAAAAAAAGGUAAAAACGAUAAAAAAAAAAUUAGGGAAAGAUUAAAAAAAAAGGGAAAAAAAAAGACAAAAUACAAAAGUAACUGAAAAAACAAAAACAACACAAAACAAAAUUAAAAAUAUUAAAAAACAAAAACAUGUAAGGAAAGUGUUUUAAAGUUUUUGUUUAAGUUGUUUUAUUGUUAUAAUUAUAGCUGUCGGAUCUUCUUGGGAAUUUAUACGAAAAAUCCAAGAGGCUAUGAAGUGAAUCUGGAUGCACUAUUUUUAUAGAAAAACUAAUAUUUUAUUAUUUUCUUAUGUUGAUCAACAAGAUUAUUAGGGUUGGAUUUAGCAACGACAAGGAGAACGAUGUCGUAUGAAUUUGAUUUAAUUAAAUAUCUUUGUAAAACUGAGCCUAAAUCAGGCUUUCAAUUUCAAAUUUCUUGUACCAAUCCACUAAACUAACCCUUAAAAGGUUCAUUACCUGGGAAGUCAUUCUAAAAUGACGAAAUGAUAGUCACUUUUCUGACAAAAAUUCAUUGAAAAAGUCAAAACAUCUACGACGCAGAUCUCCAAUGUUUUCAUUUUCUAAAACCAUCACCAAAAGCUCUUUUUUUUUUUUUCCGGAUGGUUAUCGUUAUUAUGUUAUUUUUGUUGAUGUCCACACAAAAUAUAUAUGGUAUUAUCCAUUUAUUGUAAAAUCUGAUGUUUAUUCUAUUUUUCAUCAAUUUUAAACUUUUAUCGAGCAUCAAUUUUCAUCAAAAAUAAAAUAUGUUCAAACUGAUUGGGGCAGUGACUCUCCAUUUUCUUUCAAACCAUUAGUAUUUAUCACCAUUUGAUAUGUCCUCACACUUGCGAACAAAAUGGAAUAGUAAAAAGACAUCAUUGACAUAUUGUGGAAACCGACCUUACUCUUUUAGGCCAAUGUAAAUCUCCAUUCCGCUUUUGGAAUUAUGCUUUUGAAACUUUGGUUUAUCUCAUCAAUCGCAUGCCUAUUCUUGUUCUUGCAAAUCGAUCUCCAUAUGAUUGUUUGUGUCAUUGUUCUACUUAUUAUCAUUUUUUGCGUACUUUUGGAUGUCUCUGUUUUCCCUUUUUGCGUCCUUAUAAUAAUCAUAAACCGGAUUUUCAGUCUUUUCCAUGUGUGUUUUAUGGCUACAGUUCUUCUCACCUUGGUUAUCGAUGUUUUGACAUUGAAUCUUAUCACAUGUAUAUCUUCUGUUAUGUCUGUUUUCAUGAACAUGUUUUUUCGUUUGAUAAUUCUGAACAUAUUACAUAGGUUUUGGCUCAAAACCACACACUAUUUCCUGCUACCAUCCUCCCAAAUCUGACCCACACCCCAUUAUUCACCGAUCAUGACACACCCCAUUCCGCCUCAGCCUCUACCCUGCAUUCACCUCCUACUAAAACACCACAGUCUCUACCUUUCACUUGCCGAUCACCAUAUACAUCUUUAUCUCACCAUUCUGUUGCAGGUACAUGUUGUAGAUUAGUUUUCCCUACACUCCAGCACGAUGUCUCUGCUAGUACUGGGAAACCCUUUGGUUCCUCCUUUGCUUCCCCUUUAUUUUGCCAGUCACCUGGCUUCUGAAGACUCUGUCUUUGUUGCCAACCUUGUUGUUGUUGGCAGCCCUCUGCUUGAGGCAACUUCUUCACCUAGUUUGAAUCUAGUGAUUGAUCUCUCCGCUUAUCCACUACAGCAGGACACCUCUGUGACACCAACCUCCGCUGCAUCACCAUCGUUUCUCAGCUGCCACCUUAUGGUCCUUAGACCGCGACAGCCCAAAACCGCAAAUAUGAUGGCCUCUACUGCAGCUGAUACAGUUGCCACUUGAGUAUUGCUAUCUCCUUCUUCUGAACCAAUUGCCUUCUCUGAUUUAGAUAAAUAUGUUGAUUGGCAUGAUGUUAUAUGUGAAGAGAUCAAGGCAUUGCGUUCCAACCACACUUGGUCCCUAAUGCCCCUUCAUCCUUCGAUGAAUGUUGUUGGCAAUCGAUGAAUAUAUCGGAUCAAACAUCGUGUUGAUGGUAGCAUUGAAUGUUAUAAAGCCCGUCUAGUUGCUAAAGGCUUUACCCAACAGGAAAGCAUUGAUUAUUCUGAAACUUUAGUCCAGUUAUUAAGCAGGCCACCAUCAGAUUAGUCUUGUCCAUUACGGUUUCACGUAAUUAGAAGAUUCAUAAGCUCGAUAUUCAUAAUGCAUUUCUCAAUGGUGUUCUUAUUGAAGAAGUCUACAUGAAGCAACCUCCAGAUUUUAUUGACCCUACUCUUCCAUCUCAUGUGUGCAAAUUGUACAAGUCAUUAUAUGGUUUAAAACAGACACCAAGGGCAUGGUACACCCAUCUGAGUAAGUUUUUACUCUCCAUUGGUUUCCUUGCCUUCAAGGUUGACACCUCCUUGUUUUAUCUUAUUUGAUGGUACUAAUAUCUUUUUUCUCCUAGUAUAUGUUGAUGAUAUUCUACUUAUGGGUAGCAACUCUGUCAUGUUUCAUCACCUAAUCCAGUUACUCAGCUUAGAAUUCAAGCUUCGUGACUUAGGUAUUGUUCACUAUUGUCUGGGUAUUGAAGUUCAGUAUACAAGUAUAGGUUUAAUGUUGCGCCAACACAAAUAUAUUAUUCACAUCCUCACUCGAGGUGGUAUGCCUUCUUGUUAACCCGUUGAUACUCUAGGUUCCCUCCAUCUCUGCUCCUUGGUGCGAUCUAUCUCUCAGCAAAUCCUAUCUUUCAUGCUUGUAUUAAACAUAUUGAGGUAGAUUAUCACUUUGUCUGCAAAGAAGAAAAUUCAUAUUCGCUUUAUCCCUUCUCGGGAUCAACUUGUUGAUGUCUUCAACAAAUCACUUUCUGUUGUGUCUUUUACUGCUUUCAGGUUUAAGCUUCGGGUCGAUCCUCAACCCUCAACUUGAAGGGACAUAUUAUAGAAUGUAUAGCAUGUAUAUCUUUCAAUAAAAAAUUAAUGUAGAAUUAUUUUAAUGUUAUAAUCCCUAUAAUAACGAUCGUAUUCUACCUUACAUGUAUAUAUCAAAAAAAUUGAUUAAUAACAACCUAAAUCAUUAUGUUAUUCUCGAUUUCUAUUAUCAUCAAUUAAAAAAAAAUAGAAAAUUCAGCCCAUAAUACGAUAGGGAGGGCAAAAUAUUCAGCCCAUAAUAACUGAGCAACAGCUAAUAAGGGUUCAAAAAACGUUGUCUUUUCAUGACUUAAAUUACUGACAGGAACGGCAUCGCUUUUUUUUGGGUCUUCUUGACGAAUUGUAAAAGCAGUCCACAAUGACAGCAAAGCCAUGACCUCACUCUCACUCUUGUCCUGCACGUAUAUAUUUUUGAGCAGUAAAUUGCCAAUCUCAAGUCCACUUAAUUAUAGCCACAAGUAGUGCCCUUAAAAAGGAUAUGAAAAUCAGUCUUUUACAUGCAAUCCCACCUUGAAAUUCUCUAGCAAAUAAAGAAAAAAUUAAAGAGCUCAGUCGCAGAAUGAAGAAAGCUGAGCUGGUCUUCAUACCAACACCAGGUAUCAGCCACCUCCUAUCCACAGUAGAGGUAGCAAAGCUUCUUCUAGACCGUGAUGAGAGGCUUUCAAUCACCUUCCUCAUCAUGAAAAUACGUUCUGACCCCAAGAUUGAGAGGUUUAUAAAUUCAGUGAGUACAGCCUGUAAUCGUAUCCGCUUCAUUGACUUGCCUAAAGAUGAGCCUGAUCCAAACCAACCCAGGAAGUUUCUCUUUUCUUUGAUUGAAACCCAGAUACCCCAUGUCAAAGAUGAAGUCUCUAAGCUUGUGAGCCAGUCCGAGUCAAGCCCUGACUCGCCUACACUUUCUGGGUUUGUUCUCGAUAUGUUUUGUACACCAAUGAUGGACGUGGCCAAUGAAUUUGGUAUUCCCUCAUAUAUUUUCCUUACGUCAGGUGCAGCUUCUCUUGGCGUCCAAUUUUAUGUUCAGGCUCUUCACGAUGAGCAGAAAGUUGACCCUACUGAGUUCAAGGGCUCUGAUGCUGAGUUGGUCAUGCCGUGUUUGGCAAAUCCUGUUCCAGCUAAGGUCUUGCCCUCUGUUUUGCUUAACAAAGAGCGGCUGCCGCAUAUGCUCCGUCAAGCUAGAAGGUUUAGAGAAACUAAGGGUAUUAUAAUAAACACAUUUGAAGAGCUGGAAUCGCAUGCGAUCAACUCCUUUUCUAAAGGUAAUAUCCCUCCGGUAUAUCCAGUGGGUCCCAUUUUAAACCUUAAUAGAGAUGGUGAUUGUGACGAGGAGUCUGAUAAAUACAAAGACAUCAAGCAAUGGCUUGAUGAUCAGCCCCUAUCCUCAGUAGUGUAUCUAUGCUUCGGGAGCAUGGGGAGUUUCGGAGUGGAUCAGGUGAAGGAAAUUGCUUAUGGGCUAGAGCAGAGCGGGCACCGAUUCUUGUGGUCUCUACGUCAACCACCACCGGAAGGGAAGAUGGAAGCUCCAAGCGAUUACACUGAUCCUCGGGAUGUCUUAC